UGUGGGAGCGGGCUUGCCCGCGAUGACGGAGUGUCAGCCAGCAUAUUUGUGUCUGAUGCACCGCAAUCGCGGGCAAGCCCGCUCCCACA
rnacentral:misc_RNA from 1 species